AUUAGCAGCCGCGGUAAUUCCAGCUCCAAUAGCGUAUAUUAGUGUUGUUGCGGUUAAAAAGCUCGUAGUUGAAUUUCGGGAUUGGGAUAUAUCGGUCGUGCCUUUAGGGGCAUGAUACGGUGUGUAGCCAAUUUCUCACCUUCUGGUGAGUCGGGAUGCUCUUGGGUGUUUCGAUGAAUCAGGACCUUUACUUUGAAAAAAUCAGAGUGUUUAAAGCGGGCAUUUUUGCUUGAAUACAUUAGCAUGGAAUAAUAAAAUAGGACGAUGGUUCUAUUUCUAUUUUGUUGGUUUUAGGACCACGUAAUGAUUAAUAGGGAUAGUUGGGGGCAUUAGUAUUCAAUUGUCAGAGGUGAAAUUCUUGGAUUUAUUGAGGACUAACUACUGCGAAAGCAUUUGCCAAGGAUGUUUUCAUUAAUCAAGAACGAAAGUUAGGGGAUCAAAGACGAUUUUAUGUACGUCGUAGUCUUAACCAUAAACUAUGCCGACUAGGAAUCAGACAAAGUUCAUUUUUUAACGACUUGUUUGGUACCUUACG
rnacentral:rRNA from 1 species